rnacentral:ncRNA from 1 species
CUUCAAAAAGCCAAACCCAUCGCAAGAUGGGCUCGGAAAGCCACGGGUCUUGAUAUCCCCUAGUGGCACUCCAUUUACGGUACAUCUCUCUUUCAAAAAGAUAGCUGAGCUGCCAACC